rnacentral:lncRNA from 1 species
UGGGCUGUGUCCGCCGUAGCCUGACCAUGUAUGUACAUGUACGCGCUGAUUGUGCCCCGGAUUCUAAUCAAAGUGCCAUGCAUGCUUUUCAUUGCAGUAGUAACCUAGUGCAAAUGACGCACGAUGUGGUAUGAGGAGUGGGUGAGGCGUAAGGGUGUGCCACGGUCGAGGUGGGGAGGCGCUGGAGGGAAUGGAGAGGUUACAGGGCAAGCAAUGCAGAUGUAUGGGAGUGUGUUAGAGCAAUGUGUGUGGAUGCAUGCAAAGGGCGCCUGGCCGCCUGCAACGAGUGAAAAGUACUACGAGCAUGGAAUGCAGCAUGGGCAAGGCGCCCAGGCACCCCUGCUGCGCACAGCUGCGCAGGGCGCGCAAGCAACGGACCUGGUUUGGCACAUGUGUUUGGGCGCUCAACUUAGCAAGCCAGCACUUUGAAUCCAUUAUGUAACCAAUAAGCUCCA